AUUACCAGGCUACGCUAAUCUAAAUUUGAGAUAGUCUUCAAUGGAUUGCCUAGCUAGUGAGUUACAUCUUUUUUUGGAAGGAAGGGAUUGCCGUGUAUAGCCUGCCAAACUCCUGAUUUUACAAGUUCACAGGGACACAGUUUCAAGCCCUGGUUUGGGAAGAUCCCACAUGCCGUGGAGCAACUGGGCCUGUGAGCCACAACUACUGAGCCUGCGCAUCUAGAGCUUGUGCUCCACAACAAGACAGGCCGCGACAGUGAGAGUCCCGCACACUGCGAUGAAGAGUGGUCCCCGCUCGCCACAACUAGAGAAAGCCCACGCACAGAAACGAAGACCCAACACAGCCAAAAAUACAUAAAUAAAUAAGUUUUUUUAAAAAAAGAAUGUAUAUAAGUAAAAAAAACAAAACAAAAGAAUGUAUACAAGUAAUCCAGCAAUUGCAACUGUGUAGUAUUUAGCACAUAUCUGCCAUCUACUAAGAACUCAAUAAAUAAGUGAAUUUAUGUCUA